CGCGCAGGUGGUUUCUUAAGUCUGAUGUGAAAGCCCACGGCUCAACCGUGGAGGGUCAUUGGAAACUGGGAGACUUGAGUGCAGAAGAGGAUAGUGGAAUUCCAAGUGUAGCGGUGAAAUGCGUAGAGAUUUGGAGGAACACCAGUGGCGAAGGCGACUGUCUGGUCUGUAACUGACACUGAGGCGCGAAAGCGUGGGGAGCAAACA
rnacentral:rRNA from 1 species